rnacentral:rRNA from 1 species
UACGUAGGGUGCGAGCGUUAAUCGGAAUUACUGGGCGUAAAGCGUGCGCAGGCGGUUUUGUAAGCCAGAUGUGAAAUCCCCGGGCUCAACCUGGGAAUGGCAUUUGGGACUGCAAGGCUGGAGUGCGGCAGAGGAGACUGGGAAUUCCUGGUGUAGCAGUGAAAUGCGUAGAUAUCAGGAGGAAUACCGAUGGCGAAGGCAGGUCUCUGGGCUGACACUGACGCUCAUGCACGAAAGCCGUGGGGAGCGA